rnacentral:lncRNA from 1 species
CAGAUACGAUGCCAAAACAACGAUGCCUGCUCCGGCAACCCUGAGACGGUGAUCAUCACUGACAUGAACUACUACCCCGUGUCCAAGUAUCACUUCGACCUCAGCGGCACGGCGUUCGGCGCCAUGGCCAAGCCCGGCCGCAGCGACGAGCUCCGCCACGCCGGCAUCAUCGACAUCCAGUUCAAGAGGUGGGUAACACGCAACGCUCGUUGCACAGAAUCAACACGCACAGUCGACCGGCUGAUGAUCAGCUGGAGGCCCUACACCAACAGAAUCAUAUCUCGAGACCGUCUAGCUAAUACUUAAUUUUGCCGUGGAGCCCUUGUACUUUUGCUCAACAAACUCUAACGAUAACGACCGGUUGAUUUUUAUUUUUUAUUUUUCUGACGGGCCCCAUGUAGAUUCAAUUCGCACAAAUAUUAGUAGUACUUCCGCUUUACAAUUUGGCGCGUCUGCGUGCGGAUGUGUCUGCCUGUGGACAAAGUGUUCUGAAGCUCUUGCCUAAUCCAAGCAUAUCACAUGGCUUGUUCCUGUGUCUGUAGGGUGCCCUGCAACUACCCCGGGCAGAAGGUGACGUUCCACGUGGAGGAGGGCUCCAACCCCGUCUACUUCGCGGUGCUCGUCGAAUUCGAAGACGGCGACGGCGACGUGGUGCAGGUGGACCUCAUGGAGGCCAACUCCGGGUCGUGGACGCCGAUGCGCGAGUCCUGGGGAUCCAUCUGGAGGCUGGACUCCGGCCACCGCCUCACCGCGCCGUUCUCCCUGCGCAUCACCAACGAGUCCGGCAAGACGCUGGUGGCGAACCAAGUCAUCCCGGCCAACUGGGUGCCCAACACCUACUACCGUUCCAUCGUCCAGUAUUAGCAAUAUAUACCCUGCUGCGCACAAUAAUAAUUCUGUGUCAUUGUGGUUGAUUAGUAGUUUGGUACUAGUAUUGUAUUGCUGCAUGGACUGAUGAGCUACUGAUGAGGUCGCCUCAGUCAGUUACUAGUAAGGGUGUUGGUGGUGCGUGGCUUCUUUAAUUCAGGGAUUUGAAGACUGGGGAAAUGGAGGAAGCAAAGUUAAUUUGCAAAUGCUUUCCCGCCCAUUGUCAAUGCAUGUACCAGUGCGAUUAAGAUUAUAAUUAUUAAUCGUAUUUUGUGCCAUAUUGCGUCUCUGCUUCGUUCGGUAUCUCCUUUUGUUUCAGUUACUGACAAAACCAAAACCCAUCAUGCGGAGACAGUCCAUACGUUACCUUUGAUUCCUAGACCUUGGAUUAUUUAUUUUAUUCAUUUUCUGAUUCCUACACCUCCCAUUAUUUAUUCUCAUUCCUUUGUUGCCUAUGGUGAGAGUGUUUAUUAGCCCUCCUGGAGCCUAAACUGCAAUGAGAAUUGGUUGUGCAUGCAAACCUCUUGCAGAGCCAAAGUAGAAAAGUUUCCUUUACCUAAAAAACUCCUACUAUUAUUCAGUCUGCAUUUGCCAAGGAUGCACUACACGAACCUGAUCCUGACUUGCUAACAAAGGGUACGAAUCGAGAAUAUAAAAUGUGUCGUGCGACUUCAGAAUAAACUGAUUGGGAUUUGGAGGACAGAACAAGGCAGCGUUUUAGUACAAAUCGCUGGUUCCAGGGCUGACUUAUUAGCAUAGACAACACCUUUUUUCUGGACUGAAAACUGAUUGCAGUUGCAGCGACAAUGCGAGCACUAUCAAUGCACAGCGAAGUUUGUUUUUCUUUCACGCUGCCUUUUCUUCUGACGAUGGCACUCCAUUCCCGUCGAUUUUGGCAAUCCUGAAAAGGAACAUCAUCAUGAUUCCUGCAACGGACAAAUCUCACCAGUGCUUAAUUACAAUCAGUGUAGUGGUCCGUUGGUUCAACGAAAAGCAUAUGCUAAUUAAUCCUCCAACGCAAGUCCCUUUCCGUCCAAAGCACUUCAAUUUCCCUCGUAACUAAGGUUAUCUAAUCCAUAUAGGAUCGGAGUAUAAUUAACCCUGUGACACAAUGAUUUCGGCUACUGUGAGAGCCAGUCGGCAAAGUCACCGCUUAUAUAUUAGGGCCUUGUUUACUUCCCAGAAAAUUUUACAAAAUUUUUCACAUUCUACGUCACAUCGAAUCUUUAGACGUAUGCAUAGAGUAUUAAAUAUAAACGAAAAUAAAAACUAAUUGCACAGUUUGGUCGAAAUUGACGAGACGAAUCUUUUGAGUCUAGUUAGUCCAUGAUUGGACAAUAUUUAUCAAAUACAAACGAAAGUGCUACAGUGUCUAUUUCCUAAAAAUUUUCGGAACUAAACAAGGCCUAGAUAACUUAAAGUGGCAAGAACUGGAUUCUUGCCGUAAUUACUGGCGUCAAACCACCGUCCCUGCUCCAGUCACUUCCAAUUGACCACCGCACCAAAUUACGGGAAGCUGCAGGUGUGUAGCCCUUGAACAGUUGAACUAGCUAGCAGCGGGGUGUUCGACAAGGUCUUCACACGCACCCGUUUGCCACGGCUCCGGCUUCAGCUCCUAUAGCGAAGCCAUUGCAAGAGCAGAGGUAUCCAUACUUAGGUCACACAAAAAUUAAAAAAAGGAUAAAAGUUAAAUUUUUAUCAUAUUUAUACUGUUAUUUCACAAAAUCUUACACUCAUAAAAUAAUUACGCACUCUUCACAUAUUUCCUCUAACUAUAUGUGUGGCUAAAUAGUGUGUGCAGUGUGCCAAAACGGCUCCCCUGAGAAAGCACAGAGAAGCCAGAGUUACUAAGAAGCCGAAGCGUGCGACUUCUCUCGGCAACUCUCACAAAUUUGGUGCAAACUAUAACAAAAUCGCCGCUAGAGCGUUUUAGCUUCAGCUCCACCAAAUAUCAACUAUACUUGUUAAUACCAUUAAUAUUAUUUUUUAUACAAAUUUAGUUAACUUUGAGAUAGUUUGACUUAAUACAAGUAUCGGUGUCUGGACUCGGAGUUCAGACACUAACAAGUAACAAGUCUGUGUGCCCUCCUAGACCCGAAUGGUGAUGCAAGAGAACACAGGGAAUUUAUACUGGUUCGGACCUCAAAUGCCCUACGUCCAGUGAGAGGUUCGGGUCUGUAUUGCUUUGCACCCGAAAGUGCUUGUAGUAGGGGUGUACAAGCUAGUUGCGAGAGAGGGCUAAGUCCCAGGUCUCGGCUUUGGGAAGUGUCGGUGUUUUCCCCCACGGGAGGUCACACCAACGAGUAAAUUUGUAUGCGUGCUCCCUUUCCCAGAUGGUGAUGCAAGAAGACACAAAGAUUUAUCCUGGUUCGGGCAAGAGAAGGCCCUACGUCCAGCGGGGGAGGGAAGUCUGUAUUAUCUUGCACCUAAGUGCUUGUACAGGGGUGAAUACAAGCGUGGUGUGGGGUGUGUGAGCUCUACUGCGUAUGAUGUUGCCCUGCGUUCUAUUCCUGAGUCCCUCCUUUUAUAGCUUCAAGGAGAGACCCAGGGUACAUGUAUAGGUGUCAGAGUAGGAGUCGAUAGCAGCAUGGAGCGCUGACCUACUCGAGGCUUCCGUACCGGCAUGGCCUCGAGCCGUCCCGUCUUGAUAGCCUGGUGAUGAUUACGCGUGCCCCUGCAUUCUGCUCUGCGCGCCGUCUCGUGUUGGUUCAACGGUCGCACGCUUGUACGGUAUGGCGGCAGACCCGGCGGGGUGGUUGUGGUGUUAUCAGUCGACGCCCAACUCGUCUCCAGGAUGGAACCCUGUUCGGUCGAGGGUCGGACGCCGUGUAAUGUGCCGAUAUCCGGAGCGCUGACUUGGGGUGUCUCGAGGGGGUCCCGAUUAGACGUCCCAUCCUCUUUUCCCGCGUCCUGACACGCCCUGGGUCGUUUGGUGGGGAAGGCUGCAAAAAGAACGAUGGGACGGAUGCCUGUUCCCUAUCACGCCUCCCGUAACCUGUGUGUUAGGUGGGGAAGCGUCAGGCGCAUUUCAUGUCCCGGCUCGCGUGCGCGCGUCAGGCGGCGGGCGGCGUCCUUGCGCUCGACGCCUCCCGGUUCGUGUGAGCCCGUUUCCGUAUUCGACGACAGCUAGCGCUCGACCCCUGAUCGAUUCGCUCGACGCUAUUUCCGUCUUCGAGGUUGUGGACGUCGAAGGCUGCGUAUGCGCAUGACCAGAGCUUCGAGUCGAGGGCCUCAUCCUGCGUACGGAUAGUCUUGUUACGCGCAUCGUUGAGGGUACCCCUCAUUGAUACCCUCGACAGGAAGUAAGUGGAGUUGAGUGCACGCUUGAGUGUGAUGAUGAGGAGUGUUGCUUGUGGUCUGUCUGUGUUUGUGAUGGGUGCCCUGCCUCCCAUUUUAUAGCCGCAAGGGGUGGCAGGGUUUUUACAUGUGCAAGACUGUGAAUUAUCUCUGGUGUGUGUUGAAGUGACAGUGCAGACCCUAUGGAGAUUGGCCACCUCGUCCUUGGGUUAUGGCUGACGGCGUGGUCAUUCUAGUGGAGGGUCGCCGAGCCCUAUUUGAGUCGUGGAGGUCGGGUCGGAGGCACUGCAGCAUGUCCUGCAAUAGUAAAAUAGUAACAGGCAAAGCAUGGUCACAAUGGUAGGGAUUAAUCUUCCCCAUACCUCACUUUUACAGACAAUACCUCAUAGUGAAAGAAGGAAGGCUCCACAGUGACAGGAGUUGUUGAAAUAGUAGCCGACAUGCCCUGCUGUAGCGUGGGGGCAUGGCGUGCGUCACAUCGAGGGUAUGGCCAUCGUGUGCUGGAAGUCUGGUUCCGAGGCCGAGGCUCAGGUGAGACGCUGAUUGCGCUCGAGGCUUGUGCUUUGGUCAAGACGGGGAUUGCGCCCGAGACGCGGAGCUCGGGCGAGACGGAGUCCGUGCUCGAGGCCUGAGGGGUCGGGCGAGACGGGGUCUGCGCCCGAGGCCAAAGGGGGUCGGCGAGACGGAGUCUACGCCCGAGGCCAGAGGGAUCGGGCAUUCCUCUUACUCUUUUUUGCCGCUUUUUAUCCUCUUAAUUUGGGUAUCCUAUUUUAUGGUACCCAACAACAAGCUAAAUUGUCAUUUUUGAGCAAGAGACAGAGGUAAUAGACUAAGGUCAUGUUUGAAUGAACUAGGACUAGUGAUUAACUGACUAGUGAUUAGCCCAGUUAUGUUGUUUGGAUCCAAGGCUAAUAAGUACGGCCCAUUUGGCAUGGCUCAACUUUAUUAGUGAAGCUGUUUUUUGGGGCUUUAGCUCCAUAAACAGCUCUAUCGGUGGAGCUGAAGCCAUUUUGGUAAAUUGUUUAGCAAAAAAGUUUUUUUUUCUUAAAAUGUGCUCUCACAGAAAGCCGCGUAGGAUGAGGUAAAGCCGAGAGAAACCACUAUUGUUGGCUCCUUCACACCUUAAAGCUCUGCGAGAGCACAUUUUUAGAGUCUUUAUUGGUGGAGUCAUUCAAUUUUACUUUAUUUGGUACAAAAUGGCUUCAAACGGCUCCUGAAGCCACUGAAGAAGCCAUGCCAAACAGGCCAUAGUAGCAGUACAUAAUUAGAGAGACAAGAUGCAUGAGAAAACGAGAGCCCUACCUUGGUCUCAAUUAUCGGCUCCUUUUGUUCUCCUCCGAACAGUUGUUUAUCUCCGGAUUCCGGAACGAGACGACGUAACUGACGCCCCCGAUAGCUGCCGCAGGCGCAUGUGCGCGAGAGCGGAUCAGCGGAGCCGGACUGCCGGACGUCGACGGCUCUGCAUGUGAGGGGCGGGCCACCGCGAGGGACAAGGAGAAGGCAACCGCCGCCGGGCCCGGGCUGUCGAGAGAACCGGUGGUGGAAAGGUCACGUCGGCCGAGGGCUCGAGGCGUCGCACUGGAUUCCCGGGGCCCGCGAGAUCGUCGGCCCUCGCCCUCGCACUCGCACACGCACACGCACCCGGGACCCGUUGUUGGGCCGAGAUGAGGCUUCCAGCGCCUCUCGUAGUCUGACGUCUCGCGGUCGCGAGCGGCCCGGUAGCUUGUGGAAGCGAGGCACAGGUCGCCCCUCCCUGCGUGCCGUGGCACGCGACGCCAACCGAUGCCCACGCUACACGUGAGCAACGCCGGGCCUGCGGACAACCAGCGGCUCUCCGCGACAAUCUGGCGGCGCACGUUCUGGGUCAAACUCACGUUUGCCGGGUGCUGCUGCGCUUCGUGUGCCACUUGCUUCCGUUUGGCGAGCCAUCACCAACUCAGCACGCCGAUACGAUCAGAUGAGCUGAGAAGCAAAGGACGACGGUCGACGACGGACGCCAGGCAUAUAUGUCGACGAGGACUCGGGCAUGAAGAAAAAGGAGGCAACAUCACGUUCUCCCAUCCCGGGCAAAUGGCAUGGAGAAGGACGACUACAAGAUCGAAAACCACGUGCGGGAGACUAGGGCCUUGUUCCUACGUGAUUUUUUUUUUGAAUGUAACACUUUUGUUUUUAUUUGAUAAACAUUGUUCAAUCAUAGAGUAACUAAACUUAAAUAAAAAAGAUUCAUCUUGCGAUUUACAAACAAACUGUGCAAUUAGCUUUUGUUCUUAUCUAUAUUUAAUAUUCGAUGUGACGAGAAAUUUUGAAAAAAUUUUAAUUUUUAGGUGGAAUUAAACAAUAGACUCCACACGGAUAGCGAAAAUAAUAGCGCUGGCUGCCAACGGUCAUGGAAGCCCAAAAUGCAGCAAACUUGAACACCUAUACAACAAAUCUCACCAUGCAAGCGGCGCAGGGUUACCUUCAAGCCCACUUGGCCCGCCCCGCAAAAUAAGCCCGCUGGACAACUGCAGGCCAACUUUUUUUUUUGCGGGAUGGGGCAGUCCAGACUGCUAGUGUGUGCGGGCCACUCGUCGAGCCUGCAAAAUCCUGCUAAGGCCGGCUAAGACCACUUGCCCUAGGUAUCCGAGUGUGUGACCCUCCGCCGGCACAUCCUGCUGCGUUCGCUGCUCUCCGCAAUGGCUGCUGCUCCUGUGUCCAUGGCAGAGGUGCCCGCUGUGGUGCCGAUGCCAGUGCCGGAGAAACUUGGCGAUGCCUCCGCCAUCACACCGGCCAAGAAGAAGCUACCGCCCUCCUCCAAUGACAAGAAGAGGAAGGGAAAGGGCCCGCGCGGACCAUGCUUCGGUCGCUGAGGCUCCUGUCGCCAAGAGGAAGGGGAAGGGGCUGCCGCACCCUGUUCCGGCCUCCGAGGUCCCCGUCGCCAACAAGCCGAAGACCGGCGAUGCACCCAUGUCCAUAGCUGAGCUCCCCAGAUCUGGCGUGGCCACCGCCUCCCGUCAUUGCCGGCCCCGAGGUCCACGCUACCCUACUCCAGGACGCAGACGCCGACGACCAAACGCCACAGCAGGUAUGCCAUUGCGCAUUGUCUCAUCGAAUGGCGAGGAUUUGGCCCGGAGUGAUUAGUGCGAUGACCUUGGUACAAAACUGUGCCUCUCACUUGUCGAUUUCUCAGUAGUGGUCGGAGUUUGAUUCUGGCGAUAGGCACUUAUCCUGAAGGGUGUUGUCACUUGGAUCUGGCAUUGUCUAUACAAGAUCCGUACGUAGCUGACAUAGUGCAUCUUGGUCAGUCGUCAACAUAAUGGUUGAUUGUGUUGUCCUUUAGCUCUGGUUGACUUAAGCAAAUAUAUGUGAGGCUAAUUCAGUUUUACUCGGAGGAAAACCCCGUAUUUUGAAUUGAGACAGCAACUGCAAACUAGAGUAGAGACCUGUACAGAUUUAACAAGUAAACAUCUCAGGUGCAACUCCAAUAGUUGACUAUUUGUUUGUUCAAAAUGAUAUAAGUUGCUACAUUUCUGUAUGUGUUUUUGUUUUCCAAUGGCACUAGCAAUCUAGCACUACAAAACAAUCUAGUGUGCACUGCACAGAGCAUGAAAAGAGGCUCAUCAAGGGAGCAAGUAACCUUCUUCUUACAGUAGACCACAUGGCACUUGAACUGCUGCCUGCGUGAGCCGGUGAGGCUAUCUGCAAUCCAAUCCGGCACAUGUUAGGUCGAGUUGGCUGUACUGUAAGAAGGCCUAAAUUUAUCUGCAUAUAUGUUACUUGUAGUCUGCAACAAAUUCGCACCUAAGCUGAACAUUGCCAUCCCUAGCCCUCCAUCUGAAAGUAUUCUUAUGUUAUGCCGUAGCACAAGAUGACUUUCUGCAUCCCAAAUUAACAGCGUAAACUCAGUUCAUAAACUCAUGUUCGUACCUAAAGCUGAUCAGUGCCCAGAUUAGGCCGAUUAGGCUUGCAUACAUGUUGGGAUUUGUCACUAGCUUCUUACCGACCACCGGUAAAAAUUGAAAAGCACCAUAAUAUCUUUGUUGCAUAGUAUUCUCUUUUCAGUAAAUAAAUGAAGGAGAGCUCCAUGUAUUUCAUCAUAUUAUGGUUGCAGCGUACACAGAUAGGACUUAUGCAGCUAGAAUAGUAUUUCACUUUAAAAAAGAACAUUUACUUCUGCCUGAGACAGGCACUGUCAUAUUACUAGCUGCAUGCUCGCUACUUGGUUAUGGUAUAUUUAUAAGAGCACAGUCGCCUGAUAGAACAUUCCAGAAUUGAAUCAUAUAUCAUCUUAGCAUGGUUAUUUUCAUUCAAGCGCACUUAUCAUUUUAAACGCAUGUCUAAAAUAUCACCUUAUGUUGUGGAUCCCAGCAUAAGUAAAUGAAAGGCUGGAGGACAAGGUUUUUACUGCCUGAAUUAUGGGACAAAACUAUACAAUUCAGAGUUUCAGUCAUCAUCACACCAGUAUUAACCGGCGGGCUGUGUGCUGAUCUGGUGGCACUCCACCACAUACCAACUUCGUUGAUUAUUCCUGUAGCACUUGUUAUCCCUUCAACAUGAGAGAUUAUUGUCCCUUUAACACUUGUUGCUAUAGAGCAUGACUACUAUAUUUAAUUAAUUAUAGUGUAUAUUAAUUUUUCCCUCGUGCAGCCCAGCAUGUCAAAUGUGCCAACGGUGACCUCCCCUUUAAUCGCCUCUUUCGGAAUAAAGCGCAAAAGGCCAAUGGUAAAUCAACAGAAGUCUUCUGCAACCAGGCGCUUCAAGCCUCCAAUGGCAAGAAAGGUGAACUCUCCUAUGGUGACGAGGUCCCAAUGAUGAGACUACUAGUGUCUCCAUUGGUUGUGCGGCCAAGGUCACCAUCACUUGGCCUGCAGAGAUCACCGUCACGCAGCCUGCAGAGGUCACCCAGCCCGAGGAGGUCACCAUCAUGUAGCCCAUGGAGGUCGCAGUCACGCAGCCCGUGGAGGUCACCGUCACGCAGCCCGUGGAGGUCAUCGCCACGCAACCCAUGGACAUCGUCGGCACGCAGCCCACGGACAUCGCCAGCACGCAGCCCACAGAGUGGAGCUGCUCAUUCAGGAUCUCAUGACCACAGUAAUUAUGGACCUCAACUUUUUUUUCUAGACUAGAUAGUUCAUCAUGCUAUAUUGCUGCUGCUAAUAAGUAUCAAAAUUGCACUCCUCAGAGAUAUCUUCUCAUGGAUUUUAUCCUCUUAAACAUUACAUGUGUUUAAUAAUGAUAGGUAAACCGAGAAAGUUGAGAUCUGCUAUUUGGAAGGACAUGGAUCCCAUCUAUCAGGAUGGUAAAGUCAUACAAGGCCGAUGUAAACACUGUUACGAGGUAUUUGCUGCUGCCCGUACUUCAGGGACUAGCCAUAUGCGUAGGCAUUUAGAAACUUAUGAACCAAGACUUAAGAUGCAUGAUUUAGUUGAAAAGUUGUAGUCAGUCUCAACUGAGUCAGCUAUUCUCACUAAUUGGAGAUUUGAUCCUAAACUGACUCGAUGUGAGCUUGUUCGUUUGAUUGUACUACAUGAGCUGCCUUUCUCUUUUGUUGAGUAUGAAGGAUUUCGUAGCUAUUCAGCUAGCUUAAAUCCACUUGCAGAAACUGUAUCUAGGACAACAAUUAAGGAAAACAUCUAAGAAGCCUAUAAGAACCACCGAACAACGUUGAAAGAAAUAUUUGAGAACUGUUUCAGAUUCUCAUUGACAGCUGAAAGAGUAAUUUAAUUUAUGUUCAACACAAAUUAUGCCAUAUUCUGUACUUAUUCUUUCUGAGUAAUUUAUGUAUUUUGGCUUCCGGAUGUAAUAAUAUAGUCAUUUUACACUUAUUCCUGCACAUUUAUACGUGUGUAAAGCAGUUCAUUAAUUUGGUAUUAAUUUGGUGCCAUCGCUCUCUUUUUUUUAAAGGAAAUCUUGUGGGUCUAGCUAGGCCUUGCAGGUUUAGCCAUUGGGCCUAGUGGGCUGUUGGGGCCAGCAGGCUUGCAGCAAGCGGACACCCGCAAUGCCUGCAAAUUAUGCUUGCGACAAGAUACGGCAGCAGCCCAUAUUCUCACCCGCAGACCGGCCCACUUGCAUGUUGAAGCAAAUCAGCCCAAAAUAACAUCUUUCUACUCGUUUUCCUUCGCCGCCUGAAGACCCAACGACGCCCAGCAGCCCAUAUUCUCACCCGCAGGCCCAACAAAUGCCAGCUCCCAACGGUCAUGGAAGCUGCACGCAACUCCGCGUUUUCUCCCCAAACCGACGUCCGGCGAAGCCUAGCCUAACUUUGAGUGGCGGCGGCGCGGCGCCUUGGUGGUCGGCAGGCGGCGGGCGGCGGCUACGGCACGGGCGCACUGCAGCAUUGCGCAAGGCCGGCGGGCUCCAGUCUGCUCUAAGGCAGGGGCAGGCCGGCAGCAGCACGCAGCAGCCGGUGCCCGCUGCAGGCGGAAGCACGCAGCCCGCCAGCAGCCGGCAGCAUGCUAUUUUUCUUUGAAUAUAAUAUGGGCUUUUGGUCCAUAUUCUAUUUGAUGAUUAAUUCAAUGGCCCAUAAUAAAUGCUAUAAUAAAAACAGUUUAGUACCAUAUUGAUUGUUGAUCAUGUGUUAACUCAAGUUAAAUAGGUGGCCUUUGAUAGCUCCUAUGAAGAAGUUGAGGAAGGGAAAGAGGGUGCCACACGCGCGCCGCCGCCGAGCCGUGGCGAGGCGAGCGUGUCUUGUCUGGACGUGACUCACACGAGGUCGAGACGUGACGUGGACCUGACCGUUGUCUGGUUAAUGGCAAUUAAUUAUGAUUGAUUGCCAUUAACUCAGACGUUUCCUCUUGGGGCCUAUAUAUUCCAUACACGAGUCACUUUCCUUUCCUUCCUCACUUUCCUUUCCUGCGAGACACAAUCAGUCAUUCCUCAUUCAUUUCCUUCCAGUCGCGUUGCUCUCCAUCUCCAUCCCGAACCUCUUCGCGCACAGAGAUCGAUAGAGCAGACCUCCGGAACCCGACGCCCUGCAUCGAGACACCUGCUCGGGUGUGCGGGUAAUUAGGUUUUUGGGGAGCGUCUUCCGCGACUGCUCGCCGGUGAGAUCUUCUUCUUCCACUCCUGCGGAUCGGGAUCGUCUUCUUCUUGGUGGACGUUCGGGACUACGACUACUUCAUCUUCUUCCUGGUGGACGUUCGUGGGACUGCACUGCGAACAUCUACCUACAUCGACUGAGGUCCACUACUUCAAGCAACACACUAUGUCGACUAGUGUGAAUGGAGCCGCCGGUGCCUUCGGCACUGGUCCCUCCUCGGGGUACAAUCUUAAACGAUUGUUUUUCAUUUUCAGUAUGUCUGCUGUAGUUGCAGUAGUUUUUGCAAUGUUUAUCUCUAAUCUGAGUAGUGAUAAAAUUACACACGUGCAUAUAUAUGCCACCACUGUAUUAUACGUAAUUUUCUGGAUUAAAUCAAACAUUAAAAUGUCUAAUUUUCUAACACAUGCACCGUGGCUGCACGGCACCGGCCCGCGGCAGGUUUCGAAUUUCAUAUUCAAUUUGUUAGGCAUAACAAUUUGUCCCUAAAUUACUUAGUCUAGUCUCUUGAUUUCAUUUUAGGUCCCAAGUAUGAAGAGAGAAAAUAGUGGUACACUGGUACUAUAGAUUUGAGAACUUUCUUGCAAAGGGAAGAAGCAGUCACAAAAUGAGUUUGAGCAAGAGGGAGUUAUAUGCUCAGUUUAUGCCAAAAUUCUUGAAUAUAUCAAAUCAUAGUCAAUUAUGUGUUAUAUAUUUCUUAUAUAUACUAUGUGGCAUUAUAUAUACAUGUCAAAUAUUUGCCUUUUGGUUUGGUUUACAUUUUGAAUACCCAGCUACAAAAUCCUGUGCCCGCUACUGAUAAAUACCACUGCAAGUGCAAGGUUGCUCUUCCUCGACCAUCGAGACACACAGAACUUCUCCUGCAUGCCUACUAAUAGCUCUAAUAGCUCAUAUAGCUGCCCUCUCAAGUACUAUGAUGGGCUGAUGGCCACCUUGUCCUCCACAGUAGUUGCACUUGCACUUGGUGCACUUCUCUUCUUGCUCCUUGCAACGUGUGGCUCAUGCGCGAUACCGGCGAGCUUUAACGUCUCUGACUUCACCGCCGAUCCCAACUGGGAGGCUGCCAGGGCCACCUGGUACGGUGCACCCACCGGUGCCGGCCCUGAUGACAACGGUACGUAUACAUGAUCACGCCGGUGCAUACAUGCAUGGUCUCAUUGUGCUUGCAGUGCAUAGCGUUUUUUUGAACCGAGUCCGUCUGAACUACAGUGCGCCGCCGUUCUGCAUGCAGGUGGUGCCUGUGGAUUCAAGAACGUGAACCUGCCGCCGUUCUCGGCAAUGACAUCGUGCGGCAACGAGCCCCUGUUCAAGGACGGCAAGGGCUGCGGCUCCUGCUACCAGGUACUCUACUUUGCUAGAUUGAUUGGUCAGACAAAGAUCCUUUAAUUUGGUGCCUGCCUUAAUGGAAACGGAAAGCUCGAGCAUACUUUUGACUUUUGCGCAAUUCCGUUUAUUUUCUUUCCCAGAUACGAUGCCAACAGCACCCUGCCUGCUCGGGCAACCCAGAGACGGUGAUCAUCACUGACAUGAACUACUACCCCGUGGCCAAGUACCACUUCGACCUCAGCGGCACGGCGUUCGGCGCCAUGGCCAAGCCCGGCCGCAACGACGAGCUCCGCCACGCUGGCAUCAUCGACAUCCAGUUCAAGAGGUGGGUAACACGCACUUUACCGCUCCUUGCAUAGAACCACCACAGUCGACCGGCUGAGAUCAGCUGGGGGCCCUACACACCAACAGAAUCAUAUUUGGAGACCUUCU